rnacentral:rRNA from 1 species
UACGAAGGGGGCUAGCGUUGCUCGGAAUUACUGGGCGUAAAGCGUGCGCAGGCGGUUUUGUAAGCCAGAUGUGAAAUCCCCGGGCUUAACCUGGGAACUGCAUUGGUGACUGGCAGGCUUUGAGUGUGGCAGAGGGAGGUAGAAUUCCACGUGUAGCAGUGAAAUGCGUAGAGAUGUGGAGGAAUACCGAUGGCGAAGGCAGCCUCCUGGGCCAACACUGACGCUCAUGCACGAAAGCGUGGGGAGCAAACAGG